CCAAAAAUCUAGCCUCCCUCCCCCUCCUUCUUAAUAAAACUAAAAUAUUUUAGCAGUCUAGUAAAGAAGAUUAAAAAACUACUAAGAGCUAUAAAUUUGUACCGCAAGGGAAAGAUGAAAUAAAAAUGAAACAAAUCUAAAGCGCAAAAAAGUUGAGACUCACCCUCGUACCUUUUGCAUCAUGGUCUAGCUAGUCUAAUUAGGCAAAAAGACCUUAAGUCUAACCCCCCGAAACUAAGUGAGCUAUUUUAGGGCCGCUUAAUGAGCCCACCCGUCUAUGUUGCAAAAUAGUGGGGAGACCCUAAAAUAGAGGUGACAUGCCUAACGAACUUAGUGAUAGCUGGUUUCUCAAGAAAAGAAUUUAGUCCAACUUAAAAUGAUGCCAAACUCCCUAAUUACUCAUCCCACCAUUUUAAAGCAAUUCAAAUGAGGUACAGCCCAUUUGAUACAGGAUUCAACCUUCACUAACGGGUAAUAUUUUAUUCACACCUAGAAGUAGGCCUAAAAGCAGCCACCUUUUAAAAAGCGUCAAAGCCUAACCGUGUGCAUCUCAAUCCGCAAACCCCCAUUGACCCCUUUAACAGUACUGAGAACCUCUAUAGUAUUAUAGAAAUUUUUAUGCUAAAACUAGUAACAAGAGAUACCUCUCUCCUUAAUGCAAACAUAACCCAGCAAGAAUCAAUCACUGGCAAUUAACAGAAUUAAACAAAUGUAACAACUCACUAGAAAACCCUACUUCGUACUACACUGUUUACCUAACACCAGAGCAUUUCAAGAAAGAUUAAAAGAAAAAGAAGGAAUUCAGCAAAUAUAGCCUCGCCUGUUUACCAAAAACAUCGCCUCUUGUACCACAUAAGAGGUCCAGCCUGCCCACUGACUCUGUUUAACGGCCGCGGUAUCCUAACCGUGCAAAGGUAGCGUAAUCACUUGUCUUCUAAAUAAAGACCAGUAUGAAAGGCAUCACGAAGGCUAAACUGUCUCCUUUCUCUAAUCAGUGAACCUAAUCUCCCCGUGAAGAAGCGGGGAUUCUUAUAUAAAACGAGAAGACCCUAUGGAGCUUAAAACAUCAUAACCCCUGCCCCCCCCCCAUCUAGAGAUAUCCAGAUAUUUAUUUCCCCCCCCCGGGCACGAUGAUUAUAAGUUUUUGGUUGGGGUGACCGUGGAGAAAAACUAAUCCUCCACAAUGAACGGGGCCCCCCCCUAAACAACAAGUUACAACUUUAUGAAUCAACAUACUGACAUCCAUUGACCCAAUACUUGAUCAACGAACCAAGUUACCCUAGGGAUAACAGCGCAAUCCACUUUGAGAGUCCCUAUCUACAAGUGGGCUUACGACCUCGAUGUUGGAUCGGGAUAUCCUAGUGGUGCAGCCGCUACUAAGGGUUCGUUUGUUCAACGAUUAAAAUCCCACGUGAUCUGAGUUCAGACCGGAGCAAUCCAGGUCAGUUUCUAUCUAUACAAGAGCUUUUUUCAGUACGAAAGGACCAAAAUAGCAUGGCCAAUAUUUUUACAAGCCAUAAUUAGUCNNNNNNNACCCCAUCUCAAAAAUUAUUAAUCUACCCCAACACCUCAAGAAAA
rnacentral:rRNA from 1 species